CAGACGCUAAGCACGUCCUGCCUGUGAUUAGGUUAAGGAGGAAAAUGAAAUACAUUUCGCUUUGGUGUAAGCUACGGCUUUAAUGUGUGUCGGCGGGUGUUCCUUCAGAGCUGCUCAGAUCCACGUUGGUGGCGUGUGGGAGUGUGUGAGAAGGAGGAGGAGGAUGGAGAAGGAUGGAGGAGGACGAGGAGGAGGAGGAGAGGGUGCAGCAGAAGCAAUGAGAGCACGAGGACCCGUCGGAGGGAGAGAAGCAGAGAGCACAGCGACACGCUGCUCCAGCUGAACAAACAAAAACACCCCGAAACACCACAAACCGGGGAGCUGGAAAAAUGUUCAGGUCUGCACGGGGUCAGAUUCCUGAGCGUAUCUAAUUCAAUUUCACAAACUGUAAAACACCGGGUUGCGUGAAGGUCCCCACUACACACACACACACACACACGCGCGCGCGUGUGCACAUUAUAGUCUAAUACUCGUACACAAACAACUGAUGCACACAAACACUUCUUAUUUACCAGUACGGACAGCACGUGUGUACACAAUUCUAGAGAAAAAGGUUCCUCAGGGGUUCUUCGGAUGGUUAACAGUUUUAUGUUGAUAAACACGUUGUACUCGGGACCUUUUCUGCUUUACGGUUCUACGUGUAGUCUUAGAAGAAACUUUAAAAAAAAAAAAAAAAAGGUUAUGUCUGGCAUUUUUAAGAGGUUCUUGUUAAUCGGUCUUUAGAGAAGGUUUUAUGUACAACCCUACAGCAAAGGGUCGUUUUAUAUCAGAGAACGUCCCAUGUAGCACCCUUUAGAGGUCUUAAUUUGGUGAACUCAUAAAGGUUCUAUGUAGAACCCUGCUACAAAGCGGUUUCCCAUCUGAAAAGGUUCCAUGUAGCACCCUUUUUAUAGAAGGUUCUAAUUAGAACCAUGCAGCAAGGUUUCUUAUUAGAAAAGGUUCCCAGAAGAAGCCCUUUUGAAGAAAUCUUUUUUUUCUCUUUUGAGAUUUGAGAUUUAAGAACGUUUAAUGGUUCCCCCAUAGUGAUUGGAAAACCUUAAACAAGGGGUUUCCUAUCUGAAAAGGUUCCAUCUAGCACUCUUAAGAGAUCUUGUGUUUGUCCCUCAUGGGUAAACUCUGGGUAAAAUAUAAUGAUCUAUGUAGAACACAACAAGGUUUCCUAUCAGAGAAGGUUCCAUGUAGAGCCACUUUUGAAAAGUAUCCUAAAAGCCUUAAAACAUUUUUACGAACAUUUAACGGUUUUCCAUUAAAGAUGUAGAACCCUACAACAAAGAGGUCCUGGCCUGGUGAAGUCUGAAAGGUUCUGUGUAGAACUCUAAAACAAAAUCUUUCCGAUCAGAUCAGAAAGGUUCCACGUAGUACCAUUAAAAGAUCUCGGAUUUGUCCGUCUAGGGAACUCUUGAAGGUUCUAUGCGGAACCUUACAUGUGUAGAACCCCUUUUGAGAUCUACAACUAUUUUCCAUCCAAGAAGACCUAGAUAAAAUCUUUUGCUUCCGAGCUGAGAACAUGCAAGAGUUCCC
ensembl:lncRNA